UUUUAAUUGAUAUAAAUGUAAAUCAUAAUAUGUACUAUACUGUACUCACUGAUACAGAACUAUAGACAUGGCUAUGUUGUUUUCUUUUCCAGUUGUGUUGGUGUUGAGGAGGAGAAGGCUGCUGAUAUUGAUCUGUACCAUUGCCCCAACUGUGAAGUCUUACACGGACCCUCCAUUAUGAAAAAACGUCGUGGAUCUUCCAAAGGACAUGAUAAUCACAAGGGUAAACCAUUGAAGACUGGGAGCUCCAUGUUUAUCCGAGAACUACGGGGUAGGACUUUUGACAGCUCAGACGAAGUGAUUCUGAAACCCACUGGAAGUCAGCUGACAGUGGAAUUCUUGGAAGAAAUAGCUUCAGCGUGCCUAUCCUUGUCUUGAAGAAGGAUGGCUUGGGGAUGACAUUACCCUCUCCAUCAUUCACUGUGAGGGAUGUGGAGCACUAUGUUGGUAAGACACCACAGACCCUCUUAACUGUGCCAUUAGCUGUUCCUAUCAAUAUUUAAAUCAUGCUUGGCAUGGUGGCUCAUGAUACCUUUAAUCUCAGUACCCAGAGUUCGAGGCCAGCCUAGUCUAUAUAGUGAGGUCCAGGGUAGCCAGAGCCAUGUAGAGAGUCCCUGUCUUGAAAAACAAAACAGAAAUACUAGAGUCGUUUCAGUAAUCUACCUUUUUAUAUUCGCUUGUUAGCCGUCUUGAAAGUAUGAUGUGAAGGCCUUGCCUAGUGUCAUUCUUUGGCAAGACAAGAGAGAGAAUACUAUUCUCCUUUUC
rnacentral:sRNA from 1 species